UGUCUAGCAUUCUGUCCAAUGAGCCUCUAUACCGACGAUGUCAGGCUCGCCUGACUAUGAUCGUAGAGGCAGAGUGGAAUAGGCGUUUAGGACGCGGGUUCGAUUCCCGCCGCCUCCACCAUAAGCACAUUGGCAGUCCAGGUCCUGCAGACGGGUUUGGGUGACUCGCUCCUCGUGGGCGGAUUAUUGUCUCGGUGUGUUUCUGAUGGGGGCGAUAUGGGUUCGACUGGGCGCGAUAAAGACUAGGCUGCGAUUAGGCUGAGCUACGGCCUCAAUAGUGCAAAUUCACAAAUGCCAACGACAACGUUGACAUGGGUGCGGUGCGCCUCGCGGCGUAACCAUCCGGGGCUCGGGACAGCCUAGCAACAGAAACGGCACCUU
rnacentral:tmRNA from 1 species